rnacentral:rRNA from 1 species
GGGGUUAAUUUAAUAAAUAAUAAAUAUGAAAAAAAAUUUUAAUAUAAUAUAUUUAAUGGGGGUUAAAGUAUUUUUAUAGAAAAAAUUUUAAAAUUUAUAGUGAAAUAGUAUUGUGAAAGAAAAAUUGAAAAUAUUGAAAUAAAAAUUUAUUUAAAAGUAAAUUUUAUUUAUUGUAUCUUGUGUAUCAGAGUUUUUUAAAAAAAAAAAUUGGGUAAAUUUAUUUCGAAAUUUAAAGAGUUAAUUAAUUAAAAAAGUUAAUAUUGCAUAAUUAUUUUAAAUAAUUAAUUGGAAAUGAAAAGUUAAUCGUUUUGAAUGAUAUCUAAUUUUUUUAGAAAAAAGUUUAAUUUUAAAUAAAUUUUAAAAAUAAUUAAUUAAUUAAUUAUUUUUAAAAUUUAAUUUUAUAUUUUAGGGGAUAAGCUUUAAAUUAGAAUUUUAUAAUAAAAGUAAAAAAAAAUUGAAAUUUUUAAAAUUUAUAUUUUUUAUAAAUUAUAGUUUAUUAUCAAUAAUUUCAUUUAAUUAAAAUUUUAUUUUAAUUUAAAUUUUUAUAAAAAAAUAUUUUUUAAUUUAAUAAAAAUAGGUAUAAUGAUAAAAUUAGUAUAUAAUUUAUAAAUAAAAUAAAAAUUAUUUAAAUUAAUAAAAAGGAAUUCGGCAAAAAU